UUCUUUCAUAGUAGGUCUUGGGAAAAAAAAAAAAAGUCGUAAAGUUUUGUGUAUAUGGGAAGUCCUAAUUUCUCUUUCAGCUUUUAAGAAGAAUUAUGUGGGAUAUAGAAUUCUUGGUUAUUUUCUUUGAAUAUAGCUUACAAGAAUUCCGCUAAUAAUUUUACUAAGAGGCCCUUAUAUAUGACAAGUUGCUUUUCCCUUGUUGCUUUCAAAAUUCUUUGUCUUUCCACAGUUUAAUUAUAAUAUGUCUUGGUGUGGGUCUGCCUUUUUGAAUGCAUUCUAUUUGAAGUUAGUUAAGAUAUUUGGAUGUUAAUAUUUAUGUCCUUCAUCAAAUUUGGGAAGACUUCAGACUCUUCCUUUUAGUAUUUUCUCUGCCUUUUUCUUUGUCUCUCUUCUCCUUCUGAGACCCUACAAUGUGAUGUUGUUCACUUGAUGGUGUCCCACAAGCCCCUUAGGCCUAUUCACUUAAAAGAAGUUUUUAUUUUUGUUUCUCAAACUUGAUAAUCUCCACUGUCCUAUGUUCAAGUUCAGAUUCUUUCUUUUGCCUGAUUAAAUCUGUCUUUAAAUCACUCUAGUAAAUUUUUAUUUUAGUUAUUGUACUUUCCAGUUCCAGAAUUUUUUUAGGUUUUCUAUUUUUUAAUUGAUAUUCCCGUCUUGUUAUACAUUGUUUUCUUGACUUUUUCUAUGCCUUAAACUUGCCCAAUUUGUUUUGUAAGACAGUAGUUUUAAAGUACUUGUCUAGUAGAUCCACCAUCAGCUCUUUUUCAGGAAGAGUUUCUGUUCAUUCAUUUCUCUCCUUUGAAUGGGACAUCCUUUUCUAUUUUUUUGUAUGCCUUGUGAUUUGUGUGUGUAGUACCCUGGACAUUUUAUUUUAAUAAUGUGAUAACUCUGGAAAUUAUAUUUCCUCCCUUCUCUCAGGUUUGCUGGUGUUUUUGUUUGGUUUUGCUUUUGGUUUUUUAUUGUUGUAGGCUGUAUCUGUAUAGAGGAUUAGUUAGAGGUAUAAACUCAAAGUCUUCUCUGGUGUUUUCUCAGCCUGUGUCUUCCCCUGUGCAUGGACAAUGACUUUCUAAUUUCUCCAUAUAUGAAAUUACUUUUUUUUUUUUUUUGAGACAGGAUCUCAUUCUGUUGCCUAGGCUGGAAGGCAGUGGUGACUGGCAUGAUCUCAGCUCAUUCCAACUUCCAUCUCCUGGGUUCAAGUGAUUCUCCUGCCUCAGCCUCCUGUGUAGCUGGGAUUACAGGUGUUCACCACCACGCCUGGCUAAUUUUUGUAUUUUAAGUAGAGAUGGGGUCUCACCAAGUUGGCAAGGCUGGUCUUGAGCUCCUGACCUCAGGUGAUCCACCUGCCUCAGCCUCCCAAAGUGCUAGGAUUACAGGCGAGAGCCACCACACCUGGCCUGCAAUUACUUUUCAAUAUCCUUGUUUUCAAUGUCUGGCUCCCAAAAGGAGGAAAAAGAGAGAAAUGAAGGAGAAAAAUUUAUUGGUCCUUUAAGUUCCCUGGAAAUCAUUUCAAUUAGAGGAGAACUGGCUUGCAACAAUAAGGAGGGGGAGUCACAACAAAAGUGGGCACUGCCUCUUUGUCUGCACCUCUGUGAUCAGAAACAGAAGUCAGUAAUCACAGCAAAGAUCUCUGACAUUUGGAAAGCAGGGUUAUUUUUCAUCAACCCUGGCCCUGCAAUCUGUGUGUGAGCUGCUGGGGACAAGGGAUGGGUAGCUCUUACUGUGCUAUGAGGUGAAAUGGUCAUAAAUUAACUGAAAUGUACCAUCUAAGCCUUCCCUUGGAAGUUGCAAGCCUUCAACAGACUCCAGAGUUUCAAAAUAUUUACAUCAGACUGAUUCUGCCAGUGCAAUUUUUGUGUAGGUAGGGAGACAGACUUCUAGUGCUCCCUACUCUCGUCAGAAGCCUUCUUGUCAGAAGCCUUCCAUCCAUGCUUUAUUAACCACAGGAUAAAAUAAUAUAGUAGAUGGGAUUGUAUUGUGAAAAAAUUAAGAGAAUUGGAGGAAGGCAAAUUAUUAUGUAUAAAAAAGUAACUUAAAAAUCAUUAUUUUCUCCAAAGUACCUGGUGACUUUAUAGUGAGGUAUAAUUUACACAGAGUGAAUGCAUAGAUCUUAAGAACACAAUCAAUUUUAACAAAUAUAUACACCAGUAACCUACAUGCCUGUUAAGAUAUAGGGCAUUUCCUUUAUUCUAGAAAUAUUUCUCAUGCUUCUUCACACCCAGUUCACUCCCCUCACUCAAAGCAAGAACUCUUCUGAUUUUCAUCACCAUUGAUUUGCUUUGCAGGUUCUAGAACUUUGAAGAAGUGGAAGUAUAGAAUACAUGGCCUAUUGAGCCUGAAUUCUGUCCUUCAACAUAACCAAUGUAGAUCUCUGAGAUUAACCAAUGUAGAUCUUUGUCCCCCUUUUUACUCCCAUGUAGUAUUCCAUUAUAAAUAAACGUACCCUUUAUUCAAUAAUCUAUCCUUUUCUAGUUAGACAAGAGAGAGGAUUGUUUCUAGGUUGUAGCUCUUACUAGUAAGGCUGCCGUGAAUAUCCUUGUACAAGGCUUUUGUGGACAUAUAUUUUUGUUUCUCUGAGAUGCAUACCUAGAAACAUCAUGCAACUUUACAAGAAUCUAAUUUAAGCAUGGACCCUAAGAGUGAUUUCCUCAAGUGUCAUGGCUAUUUUAAUAUUCAACCUAGAGGAAUUCCAAUAUUAUUUUCUAAGAAUCUGCACCCCAUAGUGAAGAUGGCCUCUUCUGCCAAAGGAGGACCUAUGUUGCCAAAGAACAUCAGUAUAAUCUUCAUCAAGUUGCCGCUUUCCUUCCUCUGAGCUCUCUCUAUGUGACUGAAAACAAUAAGAAAAUGCCUAGAAGUCAGGCCUAGAACAUUAAAUGGUAAUAGACUCCAAACAACAGCAGAAGUCCAAGAUUGGGCAACUGAUAUUCAGUCCCAUGCACUACUUGAGCCAGUCUUGACUGAAACAGGAAUCACAUCAAAAGAUGAGGCAACACAAUCAGGGCCUUCCGUGUGUCUCUUCUCUGUCAUCAAAUCUUUCUCUCCACUGAAAUUGGGACUCACCAUUAUCCAGUAUGACCUCAUCUUAACUUCAUUACGUUUGCAAAGACCCUAUUUCCAAAUAAAGUCCACAUUCACAGGUACCAAAGGUUUUAGAAUUUCAACAUAUCUUUUUUGAGAGAGACAAUUCAAUCUACAACUUCAUAACUUAAGUAAAAUUUACCACAUUUUACUCUUAUGUUCUUGGACUUGCUUACCGCCCCCUUGCAUGGGUAUGGCGUAAAUUCCAUCCAAUGAUGUGCUACUGAGCAUUUCUCCCCAACUCUAUACUUAGCUGUUAUCGUUAGUCAUAUUGCAUUGAUAACUUGAAAACAGAGUGGAAAUGUUUAUACUAUGGAAACCAGCAAACACCACAAAUCAAGGCUCAAUUUAUUAUUUUGACUGAAAAUACAAAUCUCCUCUAUAGGGCCAGAGAAUAAAUAUUUAUACUUUGUGCACCAUAUGUUUUCUGCAGCAACUACUCAACUCUGUGGUUCUAACAUAAAAGUAGACACGGACAAUACACAAACAAAUAAGCUAGUAGUACUCCAUCAAACUUUAUUUAGAAAGACAGGUGGUAGGCCAGAUUUACCCUGUGGGCUGUAGUUGGUGACCCUUAGUCUAGGGUUAAGAAAGUAAUGGAGAAAAUAUUAAAAAUAUAGAUAAAUUUCAAACUCAUGUCAGUAGCUGUAACAUUAUUAAUAGUACAAACAAAAUUAAGAAAUAUUAUCUUAGUGCUUGAAAACAAUUAUUUGAAUCAGCAAAGAAGUUGGCCAUUGGUGAAUUAGUGACGUUCCAAUAUAUUUAUUGUUUUGUCUUAUGAAUGUAAAUUAAAAUACCAAUAUUCAUGUCAGAAUGUGCUGUAGUAGUUGAUCAAUUAUUACCAGCACAUUGGCAAUAAAUACCAGAGUUUGACAAAAAUCAAGGGAACAGUCUUCAAAAAUCAAUUGGCUGUGUAAAAUUUACAAUAAAGAAUAUCACAUAUUUUGUUACUAUUUGUAACUUGUGUCCUAUGUAUUAUAACAUUUAUGCUAAACUUAUGUAUCCAUAUAUGUGCAUACUUUUUUUUCUGGAGAGUCAUUUGUUAAACAUUUCUUAGCACAUUGCUGCCCAAACCACUAACAUUUGUCAUAAUUCCUGCAAAUGCCAGUAUUCAUAUUGGCAAUGUAAACUCUGAUAGGAUACUGAUAUGAACCAAAAAUGUAAAAAGAGAGUGAAGUAGCAGAAUCUUUUACCACUUCCUAAGAUUGGUAAGAGCUGUACCUCUCAAAGACAAGUUCUAUCAGCAUUAAUAUAUAUGUGAUUAGGAAAUUAGAGCCCAGAGAAAGCUUCACACAUAAAUCUGCUUCCUUUUCAGGAUUAAACUUGAGACUUUUAUUAGAUUGUGAUCUCUUUCUGCAAAUUCAUGUAAAACACAAUACCUACCCAAAAGAAGAGACUUAAAGGUGCAAUGACCACCUAAGUUACAUCUGAAUUCGUGACGUUUUUGGUACAGAUGGUUUGGACCUUGUCUUGCUGCCUUCAUUAGGGCAAGCCAGGCUGGAUUGUUUCUUUUUUGCUUUUCAAAGGGCAUUGACU
rnacentral:lncRNA from 1 species